rnacentral:rRNA from 1 species
AACGCGAAGAACCUUACCUGGGCUCGAAAUGUAGUGGACCGGGGUAGAAAUAUCCCUUCCCAGCAAUGGGCUGCUAUAUAGGUGCUGCAUGGCUGUCGUCAGCUCGUGUCGUGAGAUGUUGGGUUAAGUCCCGCAACGAGCGCAACCCUUAUUACCAGUUGCUACCAUUUAGUUGAGCACUCUGGUGAGACCGCCUCGGAUAACGGGGAGGAAGGCGGGGAUGACGUCAAGUCCUCAUGGCCUUUAUGUCCAGGGCUACACACGUGCUACAAUGGUCGGUACAAACCGUCGCAAACCCGCGAGGGGGAGCUAAUCGGAAAAAGCCGACCUCAGUUCGGAUUAGAGUCUGCAACUCGACUCUAUGAAGCUGGAAUCGCUAGUAAUCGCGGAUCAGAAUGCCGCGGUGAAUACGUUCCCGGGCCUUGUACACACCGUAGUAC